GUAAAGCUUUGCCUUUGUAUCUGAGUUUGAACUUUUUUCUCCCAUCUUUAAAAAUCCCCGUUUUCUCAAAAGAAAAGAUAAUGUGUCCCCAAGCGAAGCACUUUGUUCUUUGAGCUUUUUUUUUUUUUUUUUUUUUUUUUUUUAUAGUUUAAAUUGUUGACACCAACGAUGAACAUUGAGUGGAAGUCCUUGGGAAAAGUGAAAAAUAAGUGGGUGGAGAAAGACAUGCCAGAUACUGAUUUUGCAAAUUCCUUUAAGAAUUGUGAUUUGAUUCUUCAGAAAAUUCAGCACAAAUGAGGCUGUUGUAUGAGAGACUCAUUGGCCUAUUUUCUGAAGUGUUGAAGCCUCAUCCUUCUCAGGAAGAGCAUCCAGAUCCUCAGGUG
rnacentral:lncRNA from 1 species